rnacentral:rRNA from 1 species
AUUGAACGCUGGCGGCAUGCCUUACACAUGCAAGUCGAACGGUAACGCGGGGCAACCUGGCGACGAGUGGCGAACGGGUGAGUAAUACAUCGGAACGUGCCCAGUAGUGGGGGAUAGCCCGGCGAAAGCCGGAUUAAUACCGCAUACGACCUACGGGUGAAAGCGGGGGAUCGCAAGACCUCGCGCUAUUGGAGCGGCCGAUGUCAGAUUAGCUAGUUGGUGGGGUAAAAGCCUACCAAGGCGACGAUCUGUAGCUGGUCUGAGAGGACGACCAGCCACACUGGGACUGAGACACGGCCCAGACUCCUACGGAGGCAGCAGUGGGAAUUUUGGACAAUGGGGCGAACCCUGAUCCAGCCAUGCCGCGUGCGGGAAGAAGGCC